UCUGGUGGUGUUUGGCAAUGGUAGAACUCACACUGGUGAGGUAGAUGGAUCCGGUGGUUCUAGACUUGCCAACUACUGCUUUAGA
rnacentral:pre_miRNA from 13 species